ACCUGCCAAAAAAAAAACAGAGGGGAUCCUCCUUCUUCGUGACCCAGCUGUAGAACCCCAACAACCAUUUUCAACCAUUUUCAUUCCAAAACUAGGAAAAUCAUAUCUAAAAAGAUGUAGAUCUCAAAGAAAAACUACUCAGAUCCCGAAAAUCCAAAUACAAAAAGGGAAAAAAAAUUAUCCAACCUCCAUUGUUGUACAAAAAAAAAAAAAAACUCAAAAACAACAUUCAGUCAAAAGCCCAACGCGUUCAGAGGAGAAGAAUCGAAGAGAAGGAGAUCUGUAAUCAUUGAAACUCACCCAUGAUUGAAUCAGAGAAAUAAUUGAAGGAUACGGAACCAUUACAAAUUUUGGUACAGAGCAAUGGGCAUUGGGAUGACAACAACUCAGCACAGGCAGAUUUGCAGCAAUCUGGAAACAACCCGGCAACAACUUCCAAGCAACAACUAUCUGCGCACACAAUUGGAUCAGUUCAAGACGAUACAUUUUUUCUAGGAACAGGGACCGUGACAUCAUAAUCAACCAUACAACAACCAGAAAACAACAAAGAAAAAACUACAGCAAUAGAUGAAUAUAAAAACAACUAAAAAAAAACUCAAUAACAACACAAAAAUAACAUCAACAAA